rnacentral:misc_RNA from 1 species
GAUGAAGAACGUAGUGAAAUGCGAUAAGUAAUGUGAAUUGCAGAAUUCAGUGAAUCAUCGAAUCUUUGAACGCACAUUGCGCCCGCUAGUAUUCUGGCGGGCAUGCCUGUUCGAGCGUCAUUUCAACCAUCAAGCCCCAGGCUUGUGUUGGAGCCCUGCGGCUGCCGCAGCCUCCCAAAACCAGUGGCGGGCUCGCUAUCACACCGAGUGCAGUAGUUUACUCUUCGCUCAGGGCGUGUGGCGGGUGCUAGCCGUAAAACCCCCAACUUCUCAAGGUUGACCUCGGAUCAGGUAGGAAUACCCGCUGAACUUAAGCAUAUCAAUAAGCGGAGGA